rnacentral:lncRNA from 1 species
CUCACGUCCCCAUCGCCGGACGCCUCGCCACGUCUCUCACCUUGCCCCUCUCCAUGGUAAACUUCAGUCCUCCCCUCUCCCCUGCUCUUUUAAUUUCUUUUAUCCUUAAUGUUCUUCCUUUGAUAAAUCUAAGCCGUGAAUUUGCACAAAUCUGGCUAAAUUUCGUGCUCUUAUCUCUUCCAUCUCGGUGGUUUCUUCUGUAGGUGCAUCGCGGAACUAUUUCUGGAGGCCGUCGCCACCGCAUUAGUUGCCGGAUGGUCUUCCCCUGCUCCAUUGUAAGUAAAAAAAACAUGCUUUUUCUGUGGGGCUAUAUAGGUACCUCUGGCCGGAGCUGAUAUUGGGUGUUCUGUUUACCUCAGAGACGAGUUCCCAAGAAAUGCUCUUUGUUUAUUGCCUUUUUGCAUUCUUUUGCCGUGUAUGGAUUUAUUCAUUUUACAUGUUGCAAGAAAUGGCUUUGUUCUCUAUGCUAGCUCAAAGUUUAGAUGCUGCUGCUAGGUGUGCUAUUAGCAACCACAUUGGUUAAGUCACUGAAAACUGAAAAGAUUAAUGUCACUGUAAUUUUCAUCCUUGCUAGGUGCUUUAGGAUAUGCAGUGUAUGCAUGUGAAGACGUGAAGAUGUUGACUCUUUUUCCUUGCUAGCUGCUUCAGGAUAUGCAGUGUAUGUAUGUGAAGAUGUACUCUUCUUUUUAGAUCACUGAUGCUACUUGCGCCGUACUAUUCGAUGCCCAAUUCAGAGUUACGUAACAGGCUGACUGCUUUCUCUUAGAGAGAGAAAAAAUGCUAUCAUUGGCUGCGGCGAUCACCACGCACAACGGCGGCUGGCGUUCCUUUUUCUCUUGCCCCGCUCUUCGCUGGAUCCAACUCUCAAAGCAACAUGCUAAUUAAUGGCUAUUGCCGUUGGUCAUGAUUUUUUCUGCUGAUUUUUUCAUCUUCCUAUGGAUUUGUUUCUUCCUAUAAAUACUUCCCAUCCCAGUGCCAGUGCUGGUAGAUGCAGAUUUACAUCAAUUUGCAAUUAGCCAAAGCAAAAUCUAGGCUGAUGGUUCAAGGUCUCAAAAAAUUCAUGUAACUUUCAAAUCCUUUCCUCUUUGGCCCUUGUACUGUGGUCUAUUCUUGGUUUUCCAGUGAAUCACUCUUCUUUUUUUACAUGUACGAUGUGUGCUUGUGCAGGCGCUGCUUUUAGGAGACAAUGAUUCCGGAACAGAUGAGUGAGGAUCAUAACUGGAUGGUUUCAUAGUUGGAUUUCUACCUGUCCAACAGAUUCAUGUCAUCUGGCUAUUUUUCUGUAAGUAUAUUUCCUAAUAAGCAUCUCUGAAUUGUCAAGUUGUGAAGAAAAAAAGGAUAUCACGUUGCUCGAGGCAUGAAACCUAGUGCCAGAUUAUAAAGUUUCAUAUAUACUUUUCUGGUUUUAUUCAUAUAUCAUAUGGUGUGUCCACAAAUGGCACUACUGCAUGAGAUGCAUUAAUUCUGAACAUGCAAGUCUAGGACAGUGCUGCUCCAGUGACAAUAUAUGUGUCACAAUGAGCUGAGUUUCCAACAUAUCUAGUCAGCAGUUGGAUGAGUACUAUUUUCUCCUUAGUGGCUGCUGCCAGGUAGUGUGUUUCUUAUGUGGCUUUGUGCUGGCUGGCUAUAAUUAUGUAGGUGAUGCUGCUGAUCAUGAACCUAGGUAACACAGAAAUUGUGUAUUUAGUCGCCAUUUCUCUGUGCAAUGUGAUGGAUGAGAAUAAGAGUGGUGCCAUGUAUAUGUAGAACUAUUGUUGCUUUUGAGGAAAAGCCCAAGAAGCAAAUUAGGCUAUGACUCAAAUAAUCAUCACCAACUUUGUCACGCAAAGCAUUCUUCACAAUAGUCAUAGCUGGAAAACAUGUCUCAACAUUGGCAGUGGCAACUUGGAGAGUCAGUGCUAGCUUGAAAAGCCGAUAUACCAAAGGGUAGGAGAGAUGCUUCCUUGUAUCCACCAUCAGUUUAGCAAUCACCUAUUUUGUCCAAGCUAGAAAACCUUCUAUCAUGGGUUACAUUAUUUAUGUAGAUACUAAGUUCAUGUUCAAGAGUAACAUAUCUCUGUGACUAAAAUCAUCAGGAUAAAGCUUAGCUAAUUCCAGCAACUUCUUGUCAAAAAAACAAAAUAAAUCACCUUUGCUCAAAGCAGACCCAUUGGUGGCGGCAGCCCCUGGGUUGUGGUGUUGCCAUCUCUUUAUUUCCUUGUCAAAUAUUGCUUCUUCAUUAAUUUUGUACAUAAUUUUGUAGGGGAAGAUGAUUCGUCUAUGUUAUCUUCAAGGACGACGCUAUGGAUGAUCACAUCGGCAAUGGCAUCACUCGAGUUUGCAACAUGACUGAGAACAUGAUGAUAACAACUAUGCAUCCGGAGGAGGAUCUCACUAGUCCGUUUGCACUUCAACUAAUGAGCGACAAUCGUAUGGUAUUUUGUUGCAGCAACUGUUAUAUGGAAUAUGAUGGAUGAGAAAUAGUAAAAUGAUGCGUAUGUAUGUGAUGCUGCUGAUCAUGAAUCUAGGUGACUUAGAAGUGUGUGUGUGUGUGUUUUGUUUCAUUGCCCUGUGCAAUGCGAUGGAUCAGAAUCAGAGUGGUUUCAUGUAUGCGUAGAAAUGUUUUUGCUUUUGAGCAAGUCCAUGUACAAAUUCUCGUAUGUCAAUUGCUGGAUGUUGAAACAUAGUUUAAUAUAUCGGUAUGUAUGCAAACACUGAUUUUGGACGGCUUUCCUAAUAUAUGGGCUAUUGGAUGUAUGCUUAUUUAUCACUGAAUAUUUAUUGACAGGUUAUAG